rnacentral:snRNA from 1 species
GUACUUACCUGGCAGGGGAUCAUCAUGAUCAUGAAGGUGGUCUUCCCUGGGCAAGGUUUAUCCAUUGCACUCCGGAUAUGCUGACCCCUGGUAUUUCCCCAAAUGUGGGAAACUUGACUGCAUAAUUUGUGGUAGUGGGGAACUGCCUUCGCACUUUCCCC